GAAAUGCGAUAAGUAAUGUGAAUUGCAGAAUUCCGUGAAUCAUCGAAUCUUUGAACGCACCUUGCGCUCCUUGGUAUUCCUUGGAGCAUGCCUGUUUGAGUAUCAUGAAAUCUUCAAAGUAAAUCUUUUGUUAACUCAAUUGGUUUCUACUUUGGUAUUGGAGGUCUUUGCAGCUUCACACCUGCUCCUCUUUGUUCAUUAGCUGGAUCUCAGUGUUAUGCUUGGUUCCACUCGGCGUGAUAAGUUAUCUAUCGCUGAGGACACUGUAAAAGGUGGCCAAGGUAAAUGCAGAUGAACCGCUUCUAAUAGUCCAUUGACUUGGACAAUACUUUUAUGAUCUGAUCUCAAAUCAGGUAGGACUACCCGCUGAACUUAAGC
rnacentral:misc_RNA from 1 species